GCCGCUCUAGCCCAACGGGCAGAGGCACCGCGUCGAGGGCGCGGACAGUGAGGGUUCGACUCCCUCGGGCGGCA
rnacentral:tRNA from 3 species